GCAGUGCUGGCUUAACGGUCAAGGCUCUUGGUUACAGAUCAGAGGGUCGGGGGUUCAAGCCCCAGCACUGCU